rnacentral:lncRNA from 1 species
GAUUAGCUAUGGGUUACGGAGUAUCUUCUUGACCUCCAUUGUUGAAGCUCUGUAAAGAGAGCUAGAGGUAUGUUUGUUCCCUAUCCUCCCAUAUUUUUCUUGUCUGAUUUAUGACUGAUUUUAUUUUAUAUUUCUCAUUGUAGUGUGAUUAUUGAAUGUAUUGUUGAUUUUUGGAUUUUCACGAAUCUCUUUUCUUGGCUUUCAGCCCUACAAUCUUCAUUUUUCAAAGUUUCAGCUAUGUAAAAAAGUUAUUGAGUUUGGCGACUAUAAAUCCAUUCCAUGGUCGCUGGUUUGGUUCGCCGGAGCUGUUGGAGCAACGGUGAGGGAGAGAUGGGUGAGUGGUGGUCAGGUUUCAUGGUGGAUUAAG